rnacentral:lncRNA from 1 species
UUGCAUUCCAUUGGCGUAGCAUGGAGCCAGACUUAAAAAAUUCUUGCACUGCUUCAAUCACUUCUGGUCCAAUAAUCUGCCAACAUGAGAUGAAGAACUUCGAUGAAUAACCGUCAGGACCACUUGUUUUGUUCCUGGGAAGAGAGAAGAACACAUCUUUGAUUUCCUGCGCAGAGAAGUCCGCAACAAACAUAUUCUGAUCUUCCUGAGAACAAGUGAAGUCAAACAGGACAUUCAUAUCGUCUUGAACAAACAUCCGAGGCUCAGUGGCUCCACCUAACAGCUCAGAGAAAUAUUCGACACAGAGGGCUUCAAUUUCCUCGUGGGAAUCAAACCGGUUACCAGCAGAAUC